rnacentral:lncRNA from 1 species
UAAAAGAAAUUUUAAAAGAAAAGUUACAAGAAAAGGGUGAUUAAUAUUAAGAAAAAGUCAUUUCACUUAUUGUACAGUCGGGAAUGCUCGUUAUAACAUACGCUGAGUGGUUCACAGCUUAAAGGCUGAAACUAGCAGCAUUUGGUUAUAAAAGAGGUCUGUUUCUUGUUUUUCUUUAAUACGGCAUAUUAUAUGAAUACAAUCUCAUUCAGAACAAGAGCAAGCAAGGUUAACAUAUCUAAAGAGUCACGUGCGUUAAUUGGUGCUGGCUUAGCAAUUCUAGCCAAAUUCACCGACUCUUUGUUCAAUGGAAAAACUAUCGCAUAAAAACUGAAACAUAGCAAAAAAGAAAACAAUUUCCACUACGAAGGAAAAAACAAGCAAGGUUCUGCAUGCAUAAUCGUGGAGGAAGAAACAUAAACCCUGAACAUGCGCGCCUUGAGAUAUGUGCUCAAUUUUUUUUAUAUGUCGGCUGAAAAGCAAAAGAUUUACUAAAGGUUUUGUACUUUUCUCACAUUCAAUACCUCUGUAUUCGGUCUUCUCAGCCCUUAGUAUGAAAAGCCCAGAACUUCAACCUGUUUAGCAAAGAAGGAUGUAGCGAAAGAGCUAUUUAAAUUUGUGGUUUCGGUUUCUAUACGCUGCCGGUGCUGCCAACGUAAAAAGUCACAGUUUCGCCUGGAAGGCGAAGCAUCGAUUGCGAUAGCCAAUGAGUGGACAGCUAUACGAAGUAAGGAUGGUAGUUCUAUCGGUCGUACAAACAUGUAAACAUAUAGGCGCACUAGAUAAAUUAACAAGCAUGGUGUCACGCGCGCAUAAGCCA